rnacentral:rRNA from 1 species
GACGAACGCUGGCGGCGUGCUUAACACAUGCAAGUCGAACGGAAAGGCCCUGCUUGCAGGGUACUCGAGUGGGAACGGGGGGGUAAACCGUUGGGGGUCUGCCCUUGCCCUUGGGGUUAGGCCGGGAAAAUGGGUCUAAUAACCGGUAGGAGGCCAUUUUAAGGUGGUUGGUGGGAAGGUUUUUUCGGUGUAGGUUGAGCUCGCGGCCUAUCAGCUUGUUGGUGGGGUAAUGGCCUACCAAGGCGGCGACGGGUAGCCGGCCUGAGAGGGUGGACGGCCACAGUGGGACUGAGAUACGGCCCAGACUCCUACGGGAGGCAGCAGUGGGGAAUAUUGCACAAUGGGCGCAAGCCUGAUGCAGCGACGCCGCGUGGGGGAUGACGGCCUUCGGGUUGGAAACUCCUUUCGCUAGGGACGAAGCUUUUUGUGACGGUACCUAGAUAAGAAGCACCGGCUAACUACGUG